rnacentral:rRNA from 1 species
CUUCAACGACGUUUUGAACGUCAUGGAGCAUAUGAGAUGUUCCAGGAGUUGAAGUUAAUAUUUCAAGCAAAUGCCCGGAUUGAGAGAUAUGAAGUCUCCAAUAAGUUCUAUAGCUGCAAGAUGGAGGAUAACAGUUCUGUCAGUGAGCAUAUACUCAAAAUGUCUGGGUAUAAUAAUCACUUGAUUCAAUUGGGAGUUAAUCUUCCGGAUGAUUGCGUCAUCGACAGAAUUCUCCAAUCACUGCCACCAAGCUACAAGAGCUUCGUAAUGAACUAUAAUAUGCAAGGGAUGAACAAGACUAUUCCCGAGCUCUUCGCAAUACUGAAAGCUGCGGAGGUAGAAAUCAAGAAGGAGCAUCAAGUGUUGAUGGUUAACAAGACCACUAGUUUCAAGAAA